CCCAGUUACAGUCCCCCUACUCGGAUCAGCCGGCCGCCAGACCCCCACCCACCUCCGAUCCCCGGACUGCUCGGGUUCUGCUGGACUACUGGAAGGGACCCGUGGGACUUUUAUUGCCUCCUUUAAGGGCGGGCCUGAGAGCCUGUGGUGUAGAUGUGGCUUUAGGAGAGGGGAAGGGAUGGGGCCGGUGAGAAGACUGAGGAAGAGGAAGAAUGAAUAGAGCGAUCGACAAAGAGGAGCCCGCUGUCUGAAAUAAUGCCGUCAUCCGUACGUCCCUCCUUCCGCCUGUCCAUCUAUCAUCCCUCCAUCCCUCUGUCUGUCCAUCACACACUGUCUUCUAGAGCUGUGGAGUGUGACAAUGGUGUUUGUUGUCUGAGCUUUCAAACGCCAUUAUCACACUAAAUAGCUACAGCGAGAACUGGCCCCACAAACGACCCCCUAAAUGCUAUAAAUGCUAUGAAUGUGUAUCUUCCUGGCCGAUUCUACUCUUCUGUACAUUGUGAAGCCUCACAAUUGUAUGGAAUGUAAGGGGGGAAAAAUACAAUAUCAAUCAAAUGAAUUCUUAUUUAACUUGGCAUGAAGGAGGUAUGCAUAUAUGAUGUUAUCAUUCAUUUAACCUAUCUUAUUGAGUGUAGGCUAGGUAUAAUCCCAAUGCUAUGAUAUCAGCGUGGAGGUAUGGUACUCAUGCAUGGUCCCUUGUGAGCGCACACAGAUAUAAAGAGACCGGUAAGUAUUAUGUAUUUCCUGGCCAGGUCCCACACGGUGACCUACUAACCUCUAUAUAUAGGGUGCUAAGAUAGGGCUCAUCACACUACAGGGUGAUCUUUAGAGACCUAUCCUAAUCCUUCUAUUGUUGUUUUUACGAGUUGAACCGGGGUGAGCUUGCUAUGCAUAGGCCCGAUGUAGAGUUCGUAAAUCCUAAUGAAAAUUGCCUUCAUUGAUGUGGUACAGUAUUGUAAUAAAUAAAGAUCAGGUGUCUUGUUGGAUUACCUGGAUGGGAAUUAAA